rnacentral:rRNA from 1 species
CUCAGAUCGAACGCUGGCGGCAUGGCUAAAACAUGCAAGUCGGACGCGAACGUUUCCUCCGUGGAAACAAGUAGAGUGGCGAACGGGCGAGGAAUACAUGGGAAACGUACCCCAGGCACAGGGAUAGCUACGGGAAACCGUGGGUAAUACCUGAUGAGACCACAGUGUCAUAAGGCACAGCGGUCAAAGGGUGGGGACCUUCGGGCCUAUCGGCCUGGGAGCGGCCCAUGUCCUAUCAGCUUGUUGGUGAGGUAACGGCUCACCAAGGCGACGACGGGUACCGGGACUGAGAGGUUGACCCGGCGCAUUGGGACUGAGACACUGCCCAGACUCCUACGGGAGGCUGCAGUAACGAAUAUUGGGCUAAUGUGCGAAAGCAUGACCCAGCAAUGCCGCGUGUGGGAAGAAGCCCUUCGGGGUGUAAACCACUGUCAGGGGUUAGCAAGCAAUCCGGUCGAACAGGCCGGUGCGUUGAGCAGCCCCAGAGGAAGCCACGGCUAACUUCGUGCCAGCAGCCGCGGUAAGACGAAGGUGGCAAGCGUUGUUCGGAAUCACUGGGCUUAAAGGGCACGCAGGCGGCCUGUCAAGUGUCUUGUGAAAUCCCUCGACUCAACCGAGGAAUUGCAGGGCAAACUGGCAGGCUUGAGGCAGGUAGGGGCAAGUGGAACUCUUGGUGGAGCGGUGGAAUGCGUAGAUAUCAAGAGGAACGCCAGUGGCGAAAGCGACUUGCUGGGCCUGUCCUGACGCUGAGGUGCGAAAGCCAGGGGAGCGAACGGGAUUAGAUACCCCGGUAGUCCUGGCCCUAAACGAUGUCCAC